CAUCGAGCUGCGCGGGGACGGCCGCCGUAGGGGUACCUCGAGACUCCAUUUUCGGCCAGGACUACAAGCAUUUAGCUUGUAGCUGGCUUUUUGGCGACGGGUGCCAACGCCUGGCUUGGGUCGGCGGUGGCAUGACCUUUCCAUUCUAAAUUGAAGUUUGUCUCAAAAGUUAAGACUAUAUGGAUGUUGCUAUGUGAACGUGGCAAGGCAACUGAAUAAGUUUUCCGUUGACAGGCGAGACCCCAAAUCGAUGCUACAUGACCACAUGUUCUAACUAAAGCUUCACUUUUCAUCUUAAUCAUUUGUUCAGUACCAUUUUAGAUACUUCUUACAUAAUUUUUCUGCCAUUCAGGCAUGAAGGCGGCAACUACUCACCAUUGCAAGCAGAAAGGCAUAGCUUCUGCUCUCAACUAAGGAAGCCUGGCAUUUUAUUAUGCCAUUGGGAGAGUAUACUUUGUUACACAAAUUUAUUCUAGUAUAAACUUUGUGCAAAUGUAGCUGCAACGGUAGUUCUUACAGACACAGUGUGUGCAUCAGUGUAUAUUAUCUACCAUGACUUGGAGUUCCUAUCUCGUGUUGUCAGAAACAUGUUUCUUUUUGCCAAGAUUGGCACCUGGAAAUUUUUGGUGACAUAAUGUAUUCAGAAUUUUAUUGGAUAUGAUGUAUUAGAA